rnacentral:sRNA from 1 species
CGUUUAUAUUACCCAAGUCUGAGGUAACUGAAUGUUUCAGCCCAGCGUGCAUUAAGCUCCUGUGGCUUGAAGUGAAAUUUUGGAACGCUCUGCGAAAACGGAGCAAC